ensembl:processed_transcript
ACUUAAUUACGAACACCUGACCUGCAGUGCAGCAGAAUUCAGAGGUAAGCUUGUUUUUAGAUGCUUUAUUGUUUUAUUUACCCCCCGAUUUUGUUUUACACACAGUGUAUCUUAAAUGUGACUUGGUGUAGUGUUUCGAAUUUUGAAGCAUUUAAAACUUUCCAGUUUGUUUUUAGUCUUGUUUGCGCUCCGGUGACGCAGCUAAUCUCGAGAUAAUGUCAUAUGUUUAACGUCAGUCUAAAUGAGCGUUUUUAUGGCAAAUUCAAAGCGAUAAACUCCAAACGCAGUUUAAAGUUACUGAGCAACGUUAUAAAACAAUAUCCUUUUUAUACGCUGUAUCAUUAGUGUUAUUAUUACAAAGUGAACUGCUGUCGUUUCACUGUUGUUGUUGUUGUUGUUGUUGUUGUUUUUGCUUUUAGACAUGUAACUUACUCCAGAGACGCACUAACUUGCACAGCAUUGAAUGGAAAAGGCUUUGUCCAUGUCCAGUUGAGGGCAUCAAGAACACGCAGAUAGCCUAAAUGUGUCAGCCUGGACAGACUGCAGUUCUGCUACUCCAUGCUAAGGCUUUUGUAUGGAUGUCUUGACUGCUACAGUGUUCUCUAAAGGUUUUCUGGAAGCUCCAUUUGAGGGCAUCAAGGACAUACUGAUGGCCUAAACCAGUGUCAGCCUAGACAGACAGACAUCUAUUGCAGUUCUGCUACACAAGACCAAACUCUGCUUUUGUAUGGAUGUCUGACUAGUACGGUGUUCUCUAAAGGUAUAACUGGAGCAAAACAAUAGCAUCCGUUACAGUGAAAUUUGUGUUCAUAAAAGAUAGUGAUAUAUGUGUAACAGGUCCAGUACAUUUGUCAUAAAGGUUAAAUCACAGUAAGUACUGUAAAAAUAACUUGUUUGCCUUUGCCACAACAGGUCAUGGUGUGUGCAUACUGCUCGUAGUAAACAC